AGCGAACGCUGGCGGCAGGCUUAACACAUGCAAGUCGAGCGCCGUAGCAAUACGGAGCGGCAGACGGGUGAGUAACACGUGGGAACGUACCUUUUGGUUCGGAACAACACAGGGAAACUUGUGCUAAUACCGGAUAAGCCCUUACGGGGAAAGAUUUAUUGCCGAAAGAUUGGCCCGCGUCUGAUGAGCUAGUUGGUGAGGUAACGGCUCACAAAGGCGAAGAUCAGUAGCUGGUCUGAGAGGAUGAUCAGCCACACUGGGCCGGAGACACGGCCCAGACUCCUACGGGAGGCAGCAGUGGGGAAUAGUGGACAAUGGGCGCAAGCCUGAUCCAGCCAUGCCGCAUGAGUGAUGAAGGCCCUAAGGUUGUAAAGCUCUUUUGUGCGGGAAGAUAAUGACUGUACCGCAAGAAUAAGCCCCGGCUAACUUCGUGCCAGCCGCCGCAGUAA
rnacentral:rRNA from 1 species